AGAGUUUGAUCCUGGCUCAGGAUGAACGCUGGCGGCGCGCCUAACACAUGCAAGUCGAACGGUGACGGGGAGCAAUCCCCUGAUCAGUGGCGGACGGGUGAGUAACGCGUGAGUAACCUGCCCUUAUGAGCGGAAUAACGUCCGGAAACAGACGCUAAUACCGCAUAAUGCAUUGAGUCGGCAUCGGCUUAAUGCCAAAGAUUUAUCGCAUAAGGAUGGACUCGCGUCCCAUUAGAUAGUUGGCGGGGUAACGGCCCACCAAGUCAGCGAUGGGUAGCCGGACUGAGAGGUUGAACGGCCACAUUGGAACUGAGAAACGGUCCAGACUCCUACGGGAGGCAGCAGUGGGGAAUAUUGGGCAAUGGGCGAAAGCCUGACCCAGCGACGCCGCGUGAGCGAUGAAGGUCUUCGGAUUGUAAAGCUCUGUGUACAGGGACGAAGAAAGUGACGGUACCUGUAUAGAAAGCCACGGCUAACUACGUGCCAGCAGCCGCGGUAAUACGUAGGUGGCAAGCGUUAUCCGGAUUUACUGGGUGUAAAGGGUGUGUAGGCGGGGGAGCAAGUCAGAUGUGAAAUUCAUGGGCUCAACUUAUGAACUGCGUCUGAAACUGUUCUUCUUGAGAGUCGGAGGGGUAAUCGGAAUUCCUGGUGUAGCGGUGAAAUGCGUAGAUAUCAGGAGGAACACCGGUGGCGAAGGCGGAUUACUGGACGACAACUGACGCUGAGACACGAAAGCGUGGGGAGCAAACAGGAUUAGAUACCCUGGUAGUCCACGCUGUAAACGAUGAAUGCUAGGUGGGGGGAGGGAUGUCUCCGUGGCGCAGGUUGACGCAAUAGGCAUUCCGCCUGGGGAGUACGGCCGCGAGGGUUGGAACUCAAAGGGAUUGACGGGGGGCCCGCACAAGCAGUGGGGUAUGGUGGUUUAAUUCGGCGCGACGCGAAGGACCUUACCGGGAUUUGGACAUGCCGAAAUCCCGAUUUAAAAGUUGGGUGACUCAGGGGAUUCGUCCGAAGAGGAAAGGACACAGGUGGGGCAUGGUUGUCGUCAGCUCGUGUCGUGAGAUGUUGGGUUAAGUCCCGCAACGAGCGCAACCCUUGUCCUUAGUAGCUAGCAGUUCGGCUGAGCACUCUAGGGAGACUGCCAGGGAUAACCUGGAGGAAGGCGGGGAUGACGUCAAAUCAUCAUGCCCCUUAUGACUUGGGCUACACACGUGCUACAAUGGCGUAAACAAAGGGAAGCAGAGUCGUGAGGCCGAGCAAAUCUCAAAAAUAACGUCUCAGUUCGGAAAGUAGUCUGCAACUCGACUACAUGAAGCUGGAAUCGCUAGUAAUCGCGAAUCAGAAUGUCGCGG
rnacentral:rRNA from 1 species